rnacentral:rRNA from 1 species
ACGAACGCUGGCGGCGUGCUUAACACAUGCAAGUCGAACGGAAAGGCCCUGCUUGCAGGGUACUCGAGUGGCGAACGGGUGAGUAACACGUGGGUGAUCUGCCCUGCACUUCGGGAUAAGCCUGGGAAACUGGGUCUAAUACCGGAUAGGAGCCAUUUUUAGUGUGAUGGUUGGAAAGUUUUUUCGGUGUAGGAUGAGCUCGCGGCCUAUCAGCUUGUUGGUGGGGUAAUGGCCUACCAAGGCGGCGACGGGUAGCCGGCCUGAGAGGGUGGACGGCCACAUUGGGACUGAGAUACGGCCCAGACGCCUACGGGAGGCAGCAGUGGGGAAUAUUGCACAAUGGGCGCAAGCCUGAUGCAGCGACGCCGCGUGGGGGAUGACGGCCUUCGGGUUGUAAACUCCUUUCGCUAGGGACGAAGCUUUUUGUGACGGUACCUAGAGAAGAAGCACCGGCUAACUACGUG